AUGAACGCUGGCGGCGUGCCUAAUACAUGCAAGUCGAACGCAAAGGUGCUUGCACCUUUGAGUGGCGAACGGGUGAGUAACACGUGGACAACCUGCCUCAAGGCUGGGGAUAACAUUUGGAAACAGAUGCUAAUACCGAAUAAAACUUAGUCGCAUGACCAAAGUUAAAAGGCGUUCGCGUCACCUAGAGAUGGAUCCGCGGUGCAUUAGUUAGUUGGUGGGGUAAAGGCCUACCAAGACAAUGAUGCAUAGCCGAGUUGAGAGACUGAUCGGCCACAUUGGGACUGAGACACGGCCCAAACUCCUACGGGAGGCUGCAGUAGGGAAUCUUCCACAAUGGGCGAAAGCCUGAUGGAGCAACGCCGCGUGUGUGAUGAAGGCUUUCGGGUCGUAAAGCACUGUUGUAUGGGAAGAACAGCUAGAAUGAAAAUUUUAGUUUGACGGUACCAUACCAGAAAGGGACGGCUAAAUACGUGCCAGCAGCCGCGGUAAUACGUACGUCCCGAGCGUUAUCCGGAUUUAUUGGGCGUAAAGCGAGCGCAGACGGUUUAUUAAGUCUGAUGUGAAAGCCCGGAGCUCAACUCCGGAAUGGCAUUGGAAACUGGUUAACUUGAGUGCAGUAGAGGUAAGUGGAACUCCAUGUGUAGCGGUGGAAUGCGUAGAUAUAUGGAAGAACACCAGUGGCGAAGGCGGCUUACUGGACUGCAACUGACGUUGAGGCUCGAAAGUGUGGGUAGCAAACAGGAUUAGAUACCCUGGUAGUCCACACCGUAAACGAUGAACACUAGGUGUUAGGAGGUUUCCCCUCUUAGUGCCGAAGCUAACGCAUUAAGUGUUCCGCCUGGGGAGUACGACCGCAAGGUUGAAACUCAAAGGAAUUGACGGGGACCCGCACAAGCGGUGGAGCAUGUGGUUUAAUUCGAAGCAACGCGAAGAACCUUACCAGGUCUUGACAUCCUUUGAAGCUUUUAGAGAUAGAAGUGUCUCUUCGGAGACAAAGUGACAGGUGGUGCAUGGUCGUCGUCAGCUCGUGUCGUGAGAUGUUGGGUUAAGUCCCGCAACGAGCGCAACCCUUAUUGUUAGUUGCCAGCAUUCAGAUGGGCACUCUAGCGAGACUGCCGGUGACAAACCGGAGGAAGGCGGGGACGACGUCAGAUCAUCAUGCCCCUUAUGACCUGGGCUACACACGUGCUACAAUGGCGUAUACAACGAGUUGCCAACCCGCGAGGGUGAGCUAAUCUCUUAAAGUACGUCUCAGUUCGGAUUGUAGUCUGCAACUCGACUACAUGAAGUCGGAAUCGCUAGUAAUCGCGGAUCAGCACGCCGCGGUGAAUACGUUCCCGGGUCUUGCACACACCG
rnacentral:rRNA from 2 species